GCCCCGGUAGCUCAUCCGGUAGAGCGCUUGCCACAUAAGCAAAGGGCCCAGGUUCGAAUCCGGCCUGGGCC
rnacentral:tRNA from 1 species